UUCUGUAACAAAACACUGAUGAAUAUUGCUCAGAGUUGCACAAAUGUUCUGCUACACAACUCUCCCUAUACAACUCCAACUGCCACCUUGUUGUGGUGAAAAGGCUUGUCACGAACUGGCACAUUAGGAGGUGAGUGCUAGACUCUGUCACUAGUCUCUUGGAACAAGACCUUCGCGUGGUUAGUUCUUCGUAUUUGUACUUCGUUUAAAAACUCCAUCUCAUUUUCUCCUCCAACUUUAAAAUCAUCCGACAUUGAGUGCGUUUACAUGCACCCUCUUAAUGCGAUUAUAAUUAGAUUUUGGCAAUAUUGCGAUUAAACUUUACCUCAUGUAAAUGCAAUACUUCGAUUUAAAUAAUGUGAUUAAUCUCAUAAUCGCAGCAAGCAUAAUCGUAUUAACAUAUGUGGCGCAUGCCGAUUUUAAUCGAAAUAUACAGGCAUGUAAACACCUUAAUCAAAGUAUUGCCGCUCUGACCAAAGUGCGCAUGAUUUAAAUGAGGCUAAUCUGAUAAAUGACGUUCACUUGAUAACAUCUUUCUGUGACCUCUGGAAGUAACCCAAUAAUCAGAAUUUCCUUCAGGAUUUCCAGUGUGGUUGGAUGCAUUGAUGACAAGCAUAUCUCCACCAUUGCACCUUCUGAAAAUGAAACUAAUUACUGUAUGGAAUGGAAAGAUGCCAGAUGGAGGAGAAGUAGCUACGAGAUGCUGUAACCACAGCUGUUAAAUCAACACAAAUUAUUCAAAAAAAUUUUGGUCAUCUUUAUUUCCUACAAAUACAAAAGCAACAGUUAUUCUUUUUACUUUUGGAUUUUAGAAUUCUUCCAACACUUGACCAUCUCCUCUUCAUCUGUCAGUGGUGCUGGUGCACGUUCUCCCCCCUUUUUGGGAGCCUCUGCCUUUCUUGCUGUCGACAAGUCAGUAUUAAUUUUAUAUUAUCUGAUUAUGAAAUGUAACAGGUUGGAUUAGAGAUUAUUUAAUUAUGUGAAAAGAGUGUUAGACUAUGUGGAAAAAGCUGCAGCGCAUUGAAAUAGACACUGAAUGAUAUUUAAUGUCGAAUGUUUGUAAAGUGAUUUAGCCCACACCCAUGAACCUUUCAUGCUUAAAGCUUUACCUUGAUUGAAUUGUUUUUACACUUCAAUUUUAGCUGCUGCCACGUUUUUGUCUUUUUCCUUUUUUUUUUUUUUUGACCAUGUGAUUCCAUUGAAAUGAUUAUUAGUUCAAUAAUUUACAGUUUUCACCUCUGAUAUUAUAACAGUUAUUAAGUUGAUGACAUAUAUUAAGAAUCAAAGUUACGCAUUGAAGUACGCGAACGUCUUUUUGGCGGGAGCUGUUGCCAUAGUGAAUCGUAAUUUCGGAGAUCCACUGAUCAUGACUUUUCAUAGUCGUGGUGCAGGCGCUAAACUCAGAGUCAACCUACUCAGAGUUGAAUAAACUAACACAAUUCAGCCGUUCUGAAAUCGAAAACUCUUGAGUUUCCCAUCUCACAGUAAAUCAACUCAAGAGUUCAAGUUUAAACUCAGAGUUGGUUGAACCUCCUUAUUGAAACGGGCCCCUGCUCUUUCCGAGUCCAUCAUUUGUGCUGUGCAGUGGGGUAUGUGAAUAAUGGCAGUAAAAAAUAACCACAAUUCUUAACAAAUAGUGAGAAUAAUGGAAAUUGCAUGCAAAUGGGAGUGAAGAGCGAAUUAAUGAAAUGCGAUUAAGUCCUUACUCUGAUUAUUGGAAAUAAUUGCAUUAUUCGUGUGCAUGUAAACAUAGCUGUAGUUGUUUUACCUUUUUUGUAAGGGCAUAUGACUUUUAUUUUUUUGCAUGUUUGCUAUGUAAGAACUAAAGAUGUGCAUGCGCAUCGCUAAUGCUAGCUGAGUAUUUGUGGCAAAAAAGUGUCAAAUAUAAUUUUUUUUUAAAGAAAAUGAAUGAUUGUUUUGCUAGUGUAAUGGGGUGGAGGUAGUAUUGGUAGUGGCUCUAUAUUAAGCUUGUUUAGGACUACAAAUGAGUUGGACUACAAAUCCCAUGAGUCUAGUUACUAUAAAGAGGAAAUCAAAGUGUUUGGUCUUCCUCUUUGUGGUACCAUUUGCUAAGCAGGAGAAGCUGUGCGGCGUGUUUUAAGGCUGUGUGAUAACUGAAAAAAACUAGUUACCUUGUGAGCAGUGUGGAAGUAAUUUGUGGAGUGUGUUUACUGGAGAUACACUGAUGGGUGUUUCAGAGAAUUGAGUAGAGUUAUUCAAUAACACAGAUGAUGCAUGAUUGCCGUUUACUUUUAUUGAGAAUAUUGGUGGCUUUAUGUUGGGUCUCAAGAUAUGACACAGUGUAACACAGUGUUACAUUGUGAUGAAGUGGCUUGAAUGUAUUGUGAGGUUGUUAAUGUAUGGUUUUGUUUAUUUGUUUUGUUUAAACCAACAAACAACAUUGGGGUUCCCAGUUUUUUGUACAUGGUUAACUCCGCUAAGGUGAGGGGGAGCAAUUUGUAGUGGUUUGAGUAAAGUGAGUGUUGGGUUUGGACACUUGAAGUGAUAUUUGGUUUUGUUGUGAUUUGAAUGUAUAUUCUUUUUCACAGAGGAAUUGCCAUUUUAUAUGACUGGGGAACCCUAUGGUUGGUAGCGGGUUUAACUUUAUUUGUGUUUUCCUUUUGUGUUUUUACCACUUCUAAUUAUGUUGUGCCCAAUAAAUUGUUGUA